rnacentral:rRNA from 1 species
CGGGGCUUAAUGUCUUGUAAUUGGAAUGAUGGGAAUUUAAACCUCUUCCAGAGUAUCAAUUGGAGGGCAAGUCUGGUGCCAGCAGCCGCGGUAAUUCCAGCUCCAAUAGCGUAUAUUAAAAUUGUUGCAGUUAAAAAGCUCGUAGUUGAAUUUCUGCUGCAUUGCUUGUGUCCCUCUGGGGUCUGUGCAUGUGGCUUUUUUCGGACGGAGUUUCUUUGUCUGAAUGUUUACUUUGAGAAAAUUAGAGUGCUCAAAGCAGGCUUUCGCCUUGAAUAGUUUAGCAUGGAAUAAUAAAGUAGGACUUUGGUUCUAUUUUGUUGGUUUUAGGUACCAAAGUAAUGGUUAAUAGGAACAGUUGGGGGCAUUCGUAUUUAACUGUCAGAGGUGAAAUUCUUAGAUUUGUUAAAGACGAACUACUGCGAAAGCAUUUGCCAAGGAUGUUUUCAUUAAUCAAGAAC